UUAAAUGGGAAAAAUAGACAUUUUCCUUAAGAACCCAGAAAGAAAAUUUUUUAUAAUAUUUGGAGGGGGUGGAUCAGGUUCAUAUCCCUGUAUAGAAGUGAUUUAAUAUAAUGUUUGAAUCCUGAUGGUAUUGAAACUCUGUAUCAAUCUCCGGAAACUGUAAUAAGAUGACUGGAUAUAGUUCUUUCUGUAUAUGUUAAGGAAGAGGAGAA